GUGAAAAGUUAUGAAAUAAGAUAAAAGCUCAGUGUUUCAAACAUAAGAAACAGCAUACACAAUACUGGACAUCACAGGACCCUCUCCGGCUGGAUACCAGGCUGUAGAACCACCAGAUGCUUCAGAUGAGAAAGGUUGGAUCUGUUUCACAGGGAAGGGGCUAAACUGUUUCAAGAGGCGACCACGCGCUGGGCACUCUGUACUUUGCAACCUACCAAGUAUCAUCACAAGAGCUAUGAAAGUGAAGAGAGACAUACGUUAUCUAAGAAUCUGAGAGAGAUGACUCAGUCAGCAUCCUCUCUCUUGGUGUACAAUGGUAGGGACAGCUACUGUGUCAUCUGGAGCAUGACAAUGAGAACACAGACACUGGAUCGUCCUGAUAUAGCCUGCAGUCCAUCUGGGCCUCUAGACAUUCAUUUGCAUUUGCAUUCAUGCGCAUCCCCUACUACUCCAACUCCUACACCUUUUGGCAGGAUAUAUCCACACAGCUGGAUUGGAAUCACAAGAUGUUUUUAUUUUUUGCCUCAUUAAACUAGUUUCUCUCAAGCAAUGUGUGUUUUCUUUAUAUUCCAG
rnacentral:lncRNA from 1 species